rnacentral:rRNA from 1 species
AUUUAGUUGUGCACGCCAGGCAAUCCAUACAGCCUCUCUCCCGAAGAUUCGUUCCCCUCUGCCUCCCUCUCAUCGUCUUCUUCACCCUCCUCGGCAAGGACCAGAUCGGGAAAAAUGACCACUUAUCUUCUUCUCCGGCCGACGGGUACUGCCGCUGAUCCAUUGGCGACAAGGUGGUCAACUUUAUCUCUCGAGCCGGGAUGUAAGAUUUCUUUAGCAGCAUAAAUCAUUUUCUCGCAGCCAGAUCCCUUUUUGCUGAACUUCAAUCUCAUUCAUGCAGGCUGGGUCAUGCCAGUUUUUUGAGAUCCACGGACACGUUCACACGUACCUGCCGGAGUUGACUCGCCAUGGCAUGUCCCAGUCCCACGUGCUUCACCAUAGAUCCAGGCGCGAGCACAACUUCGUCCACAGCUGCCAGGCAAAGAUCCAACAAGCUCAGGGACGCCCCCCUGCGCUGCACCGCACUGCUGCUCGACGGACAGCCAACGCACGGUGCUGCUUUUGGCUUGCACCAACCAACUCCUUGUUGUGGCUAUCCUGUUCUUAAUCUUCCCGAGAUGAGCACUUAGUUUUAGUGUAGAGUCCUGUAAUGGGGAGAGUCUAAUUUCGUGAUUACAUUAAGUAGUACGAACACGUGUAAGCUGCAUGCUAAUGUCCUGUCUUUUGUUCUCCCACUGCUAUAUGUUAUUGUCGUGUCGAAGCAUGUAAUCAUGGUUAUCUCUGUAUAAUAUUAAUCAAGUUCUACCCUCAUGGCAGGCAUUUUUAUUGACGAUUUCUUAUGACUCACACUACAUUUAAUUAAUCAUAACCUCUCAUUUUUUUAUUCACUAUGUGUAGUCACAUCAAUCAUAGCCCAGGAGGAAGAUCUGUUAGGCGGAGAACACCUUCGAUCUUGGUGCACCAGCAGUCGCCGGCUUUUCAGGUGCGUCCGGCUUACCUUCAUUUUUCCUGCUCCUGCUGCACCCAGUUCUGCAUAAUCCUAGAUUCAGUCUUCAAAAUCACAUCUUGCUAGAUUUGUACAUUCAUAGAUUCAGAGAUCUAGUCCUUCAAAUCAAUUGCAUCUGAAGAUUCAUACAUUUCCACAGUCACUCCUUUCAGAUCACGCGAAUUUCUAGUGCACGUUCUUUACAGCAGGUUUCAUUUAGAUUAUUUUGCUUAGAAUUAACAGGGCCAGACACACUGUCCUGCUAACUUAGCAAGCAGCUCACACUUGAUGCUACCGCGUACAAGAUCGUACUUACUCACACACGAACCCAAUGCAGUUAUUUUUAUCGUUGGUUCUGACUGAAAUUCACCUUAGUGACGUAAUUCCUAAGCGGUUGUCGUCGAUUUAUCUUGGCUAAAGUCACUGCAGCGACCAAAAGCCCAAUUGCCUGUGCCUGCACUUAAUGAAUUUAAUUGCAUUUUCUGUCCACAAUCCCAGCCUCAUUAUUUUCGCCGAUAUUAUGGCCUCGAGAUGUCGGAUAAAGGCAGCUGCGACGGGGAGACCGCUGAUGACAUCGUUCAUGAAGAUAGCCAAAAUUCAGCAGAGUGGUGACUCAGCUGUGCCACCAGCACCGACAUCUCGCAUGUCUGUCAAGCACACUAUUGAAGUCAUACAGACAUUCAAUGAGUUCAAGUGAUUACUUGUCACGAGCUUUGGCUUUGGCGGCAUGCUCGAACUCCAAAUGUUGCAGAAACUGAACCUCAAAUUCAGUACUUGGACAAUGAGCAAGGUCAGCACCACCCGAUGCGCCAUUGUCCUGGCUGAGAACAAGAUACUUAAGUUCUGAGCAUAGGAUGUUCACAAAGUCUUUGGAUUCCCAUGUAGACAUCGCAACAUAAAGGGUUGGGAUGGCCACAUCAAGCCAGAAGAAAUUAAGUUCAUAAAGUCGAUGUGCUUGUCGGCAAUAGACUCAUUGGUCAUGAACUGAUGUGCUUGCUUUUCCGCCAUUUUGCUCAGCCUGAUUGUCAAGCAGAUACCGGAAACCCCUAUCUAAGCUGGAGGCACCCUAUCGAACCUGAUUUCUCAACUCUGGUGUUGUCUGAUUCUGGUUUCUUCCACACGGUAACAAUACAGAAGUAGUUAUCUGCUGACUCGAUCAAGUAUGACAUAGCAUCGUCUCAAGCGUUCAUCACACCGGUGCCGCGCCCGGAAGGCUGGAUGAUUCUAGUGUGGGAUAUGCUACAAAAAGUAUUAAAUGUGACUGAUCCUCUUUAUGCCAAAAGUUCAACCAAUCACCCAUACAAGGAACGCGACGAAGCCUUGGCAUGGAAGCUGCACAAUGCAUUACUCUCGUGCCUUGGCAUGAAUUCUAUCCCGGAUGGCCAGCAACCAAGGAAAACUGGUGGAUCAAGCAUGAACCCACAACCGAUGACAUCUUCACGACGUAAGUGACACCAGCACAACAUAUCCAAAAUACAGAGGGACAGCCUGCAUGAGUGCUUGAAGCUGCAGGGUAAUUUUUCCCAGAUUUCUAAGAAGGCAUUGUGGAAAGUCUUAGCACCUUCAGACUCCUUCGACGACUAGGAAUCCUCCUUCAUCACUCACCGGAGGAAAUUUCAUGCAUCACAUCCUGAUAGUUAUUUGUAGCUUCCCCGUAGAGUUUUUUGGGUUGUAAGGCAGUACAAAUACCAUGAACUUGCCAAAGCUAUGUUGGUUUCAGAUUCUGCCAGAACCUUGUUUAAUUUCUUAUCUGCUUCCCAU